rnacentral:rRNA from 1 species
AUACGGAGGAUCCGAGCGUUAUCCGGAUUUAUUGGGUUUAAAGGGUGCGCAGGCGGCCAUUUAAGUCAGCGGUUAAAUCGUGGGGCUCAACCCCAUUCUGCCGUUGAUACUGGGUGGCUUGAUUGCGGUCGAGGUUGGCGGAAUUCGUUGUGUAGCGGUGAAAUGCAUAGAUAUGACGAAGAACACCGAUUGCGUAGGCAGCUGACCAGACCGCAAAUGAUGCUCAUGCACGAAAGUGCGGGGAUCGAACAGGAUUAGAUACCCUGGUAGUCCGCACAGUAAACGAUGAAUACUUGUUUUCGGCGAUAUAAUGUCGGAGGCAAAGCGAAAGCGAUAAGUAUUCCACCUGGGGAGUACGCCGGCAACGGUGAAACUCAAAGGAAUUGACGGGG